rnacentral:rRNA from 1 species
CUGACACAGGGAGGUAGUGACAAUAAAUAACAAUGCCGGGCCUUCUUAGGUCUGGCAAUUGGAAUGAGAACAAUUUAAACCCCUUAUCGAGUAUCAAUUGGAGGGCAAGUCUGGUGCCAGCAGCCGCGGUAAUUCCAGCUCCAAUAGCGUAUAUUAAAGUUGUUGCAGUUAAAAAGCUCGUAGUUGGAUUUGUGGUGUGUCCAGUCGGCCUUUGCUCUUUGAGUGAUAGUGCUGCACUGGUCUGCCAUGUUUGGGUGGAAUCUGUGUGGCAUUAAGUUGUCGUGCAGGGGAUGCCCAUCGUUUACUGUGAAAAAUUGAGUGUUCAAAGCAGGCUUAUGCCUUGAAUAUAUUAGCAUGGAAUAAUAAUAUAGGACCUUAGUACUAUUUUGUUGGUUUGCGCACUGAGGUAAUGAUUAAGAGGGACAGUUGGGGGUAUUCGUAUUCCGUUGUCAGAGGUGAAAUUCUUGGAUUUCCGAAAGACGAACUACUGCGAAAGCA